ACUCAAUGUUAUCAUCUAUAUAUGUCCUAAAAUAAUCGACAACCUUCUUAGAAUCUAAAACAAAAUCAACAUUAUCGAAAUGAAGGUUUGCUGCCCAAGUGUCGUAUACAAACCCAUCGCUUCACUUUCAUUGACGGCACAAAAUGGGGAGAACCAGACAGUUUUUGCAAGCAUGAAAUUACCUUAUCCGUCUCUUAGACACGUUAAGUCAUACCUUAUUUAGCGACAAGGAAAAUGAUGCAUCUAUAUUACACUUAUACCUGCUAGGAGCAGAUUUUACACAAUGGUGCUCAGCUGCACUACUCAUUCCUCACUUCUCGGUGUUGGAUAGGGUUGCACUGCUUGAGCGAAUAUUUUAUGCAAGUCUCCAUUCUUCCAUCAAGUGCGUUGCACACUCUAUGGCCUGCAUAUUAGUUCCAUCACUUUGUUGCCAAAGCUUCAAGUUCCUCCGUUUGCACACAAUCCAAAGAAUGGCUACAAAUUGUUCGCUUUGCACCGGAGUAAUUUGGUGCAAUAUAGUGAAAACAACAGUAUCCAUACGAUACGAUAGUCCUGACGAAGCACUCUAUCUAUUUUAUCUGAUAAAUUUAUUGCACAAUUCAUCUGGGAGUUGUCAAUUAAGCAACUUGUAAGAGAAAUUUUGCAGAAUUAAGCCCAAUGUUUGCUAAAGCAUUCGGUUUGAGAAAUGGUCUUACUGUGGCAAAAGAAGUGAAUUUAAACAAGGUCAUUGAGGAAUCUGAUGCAGGUGUACUACAUUAAUUUAAUGACUGAGCUGACAUGGCUGCAGUUAAACCAAUACUCCAAGAUUGUAGCACAUCAAUAUCUCGUGAUUUAGUUUCUUUGUAGGGAUAUGAUAAUCAUUUAGCUCUCAAGUGGUGGCUUCUAGAAUUCAUGUUCUAAUACUAAAUUAAACCCCCUCUGUACAAAAGCUGUUUUGCUCUCAAGUGGUAGCGCAAACCAACCAAUCACUUGCUUACCAUUCUAUUGUCUCGAUGAUUGUCAUAUUUUUAUUUUAUUUAUGCUUGAUGUAAAGUUCUUGUUAUAUUAUGCAGCUCUACCUAACUAUGUGAUAAAGAUAUGAAUAAUAUGGCAUAAAAGUUUAUAUGUUUUGAUAACAGGUCUUUUUGCAGGAUAUCGACAGAGAGACAAAGAUUUCUCGUGGGUUUUAUUGAGUCAUAGUGGAUAGCAUAACAAUAGGGGUUGUAUAAGUAUAAGUUUAAUUGUUUUGUGCUUCAAAAGAAGAGUCAUUGUUUUGUUUAGUGCUUAUGUUGAGUUUGUGUUGAUGUUUAUUGCAGCAAAGACAACAACAAAACAAGGAAAACAAGCAUGGAAGCAAAGUGUGAAGUUAGAAGGCUUCACAUAAUCUGCUUAUUUAGCUACAUGGGUGGUUUUGCAGAACAUUAUCGUCUCAUUAGUGUUCUUCGUCUAGCUCAAAACGAUGUUUAUCUCAGUUUUAGAGGUCUUUGCAACAACAUCACACCAGCAAUUGCAGCCUCAUUUGCCUGCAUUUUUCCAUAAUAUCUAAGACAACAACUGCAAUUGGGAACCAUGUUGUCACAACAUGUUGAGUCUAAAAUAACACUGCACUUUUCUUUCUUGAAAAGAUGUUAAGAGGUGGCUUGGUGAAUUGAAAAGAGUUUCCUGCUGGUCCAUUUUCUCCACCUCAUUUUCUUUACAAGUUAUUGAACAAUUGGAAGUACAAGAGUGGACGCAUUUCUGAUAACAAAUGCGUCCUCAAAGGGUUGCAACUUCACACUACCCCUUUCGAUUCACGUUAAUAUUUGGAAACUCAUCGACUUCAUGAAAAGAAAACAGUUACUGAUAUAGUUGCUCAGAAGAAAUAUUUGCAAGCACAGGUUGAAUAGGACAAACAAAACAUGAACCUCAAAUUCAGCAAGAAACUGAUUGAAAAAAAGGAGUAUUUGCUAAAUCAUGUGUCAUCAGAAGUCAGCCAAGAUUCAUUGUUUUGCCGCUCAGAUGACAGGUUUAAGUAAAUAUAAUACAGUUUUAUACCAAAUCAUCCAUGAAAAGCAAGAUAAAUUAUUUUCAGCCAUCUUAUAAUCCAAAAAAGUUGAUAUUAUAAAGUGACACAAUAGUAAGAUAUAAUUAAAUGAAAGUGAACAACCUUAUUUUUUAAUUCACUUUUCACUUUCAUUACAGAUUCAUCGCAUGGAUAUUUGAAUCUAUUUUUAUGGAAUUCUAUUUUUAUUUUAAUGACUAAAUCAAGAUAAACAUAAAAUAUUAGU